CAUGCUGACCUUAACAUCUUCCAUUUAGUUCUCUAACACAGAGGCUGGACCCUUGAAUCUGCUUUGAGUAUUGUAUAAUAAAGGUAAAAUAAGAAGACCGACAGACUUUGAGGUACUACAGAUAUCAAGAAACAGUUUAUGUUUAUGUUGAUAUGAAGAAGUGUAUAUCUGAGCAAAGGAGUGCCCCCUUCCCUUCUCCGAUGGUAGGACCAAGAAUAUGGUCCUGGAAUGACCAGAAGCGGACCAAGAAUAUGGUUCUAGAAUGACCAGAAGAGGAUAAACAGGCUGGAGUGCAAUGUGAUGAUCUCGGCUCACUGCAACCUCUGCCUCAUGGGUUCAAGUGAUUCUCCUGCCUCAGCCUCCGGAGUAGCUGGGAUUACAGGUGUGUAUCCCCACGCCCAGGUGAUAUUUGUAUUUUUAGUAGAGAUGGGGGUUUCACCAUGUUGGCCAGGCUUGUUUCGAACUCAUGACCUCAGGUAAUCCGCCUGCCUCGGCCUCCCAAAGUGCUCGGAUUACAGGUGUGAGCCACUGCGCCCGGCUUGUUAAACAUUUUAAUGUUAAUGUUUAUGAAAGUUUCUGGUGUGUCAUUUUCUCAAAAAGUCUUUGGCUUUGGAAUAAAUUUACUAGUGAAACUAUAUGGUUUGGGAGUUUACUUUUUUAGAAGGUUUUUAAUUACAAAUUCAAUUUUUUAAUAGAUACACGCCUAUUCAAAUUUUCUAUUUCUUUUUUAGUUGAUUUUGGCAAUUAACAAAGCAGUUUAUCUAUUUCUUUGAGGAGGUUAAAAUUAUUGCCAUAAAGGCAACCCCUUAAGAAGCAGGACAUGGAAUAUUUUGUCAUUUUCAUUCUGAGGAACAGACUGGUUGGGUGCACUAGGCAGCUGAUAUGAUGGGAAAUCCUGCUGUCCAUGAAAGAAAGUUAAUGGAUUUUUAUAAUGGUGCCAAUCAUAUGGUAGAAAUUAUCCUUUCAAUAUUAGAGAAUUUGAUUAAAGGAAUUACGUGAAUUAGAAAUUUUGAAGAAUUUCAUUGAAAAGCAUUUUAAAGAUUAUAAAAACAUUCUCCUAUGGAUUGAAAAGUUUGAUCCAUUUUGGAAUUCAUUUUGAUGUAGCCAAAUGUGAGGUUAUACACAUCUACAAGCAAGGACUGGAUGUUCUAUGUCAUGGAUCUCCCAAAACCCCUGGCACCAUUGGUUGACGGUCCAAAGUAUUUGACUUGCUAAAGAAUCUUUCCCUCCUAGAAGUAUAAAAUUCUACUUUAUUUUCCCUAUAAAAACAAACAAAAUAACUAUAUAUAUAUGCUGAUAUUGAACCAGAAUUACAAAUAAUUUGUAAUGUCAGAU
rnacentral:lncRNA from 10 species